rnacentral:rRNA from 1 species
UACGAAGGGGGGCUAGCGUUGCUCGGAAUCACUGGGGCGUAAAGCGCACGUAGGCGGACUCUUAAGUCGGUGGUGAAAUCCUGGAGCUCAACUCCAGAACUGCCUUUGAUACUGAGGAUCUUGAGUUCGGGAGAGGUGAGUGGAACUGCGAGUGUAGAGGUGAAAAUUCGUAGAUAUUCGCAAGAACACCAGUGGCGAAAGGCGGCUCACUGGCCCGAUACUGACGCUGAGGCACGAAAGCGUGGGGAGCAAACAGG